GAGAGAGAGGGGAGGAGAGAGUGGAACGAAAUAUUGCGGAUCGGGCGUGGUGCACGUCCCACACGAGGCACAGGACACGACGACGCGGUGCACGGAGUCCUGUCUCUUUUGCCUUUCUAUCCUCCGCUCGCGGCGUUCCAGCCGCGUGCUGCUCUCUAAUCUCUCGAUUGUUUCCACUCGGAGUCGUUAAAAUAUCAACCGCCUUUUUCUUCGCGCAAAUUGUUCGCC